AACCUGUCAUUCAACAGUCAUUGGAUCAAAGGACAAAAAAAUGUCACCUCCAACUACUAUAUCCUACUAUAUCCGGUACUGUGAUGACAAUGGAUGUCGUCUUGCUUGCUACACAAUGCGAUGAAGUACUACAGCAGCACAAUAACCAUGAAACCAGUCUUCAUUUCCUUCUUUGACAGCAAGCAUGCUUUUCAAAGAAUGAAUCUCUAAGUGGAUACUAUGUGAAGAAUGAAGUUUUGAUUCAGAACAGCCGAUUCAAACCAGGUAAUCCUAGCAUGGCAGGUGCAGCCCAAAGCCUUUCUAUCAGAAGAGAAAUCUUUUGAGCACUUCAUUUGAAAAAAAAAAAAAACAAUCUUCUUUGGAGAUUAAAAUUAUUAACAGUGAAAGAGACUACAUCGCUCCUCUCAGACACAGAAUGCCUGGCUCAUCCAUUUAUCAGCUAAUGUGCAAAAGUCUACUUUACAAUCAAAGACCUAACUCCAUGCAAGGGAGUCAUGGCUGUUCCAUCUAUAUAAACAGAGCAAAGGCAAUGGGCAUUAGCGAGGUAGUCCCCGUGAAUGAAAUCCCCUCCCGUGACAGAAAAGUGGAAAUAACCAACCUUGUUUACCCAACCUGGUGGAUAGUCUGUGUCUGCAUCUAAAGAGAGAGAGCUGCGUGGCUGAUAAAGAUACUUAAAUCUUGCUGUUUUGGUGAAUUAUACCCAUGGUACAACAAAAUAACUACCCAGGUAAAGAUUUA
rnacentral:lncRNA from 1 species